rnacentral:lncRNA from 1 species
CUUCGGCCCGUUAGAUUGGCCAGAUGCUUUUUCCCCUAAUGCUUUGCGCGGCCGGCCUGUGGGUCCCUGAGUGGGAGAGUGGGUGGCAGGCGCGGAGAAGCUGCUGCAGGUGGUGGGCGAGCGGCCCGGGCUGGGGCGACGCUCCGAGGGCGGGAGAGGGUCUGACUGCGGGCUCACCUGCUCUUGCGGGAAGGAAGUAGUACCUGGGGAGCGAGGGAUCGAGCUCGGAACCUUGCUCUUGCGAGGCAGGCACCGGAACCACUGAGCUAAAUCCCCAACCCGACAGUGAAUAAGUUUGAAUGAAGACUUAAGGAACCCCAUCAACAGGCACUCCCUGUCAUCUGUGAGGUUUAGUGCCGAUGAGGACCAAAAUACAUGUAAAAAGGUGUCUCCUCAUAUACUGCUUACAGCUAUCCUGUGAGGUCGACAUGACAGGCACGAGGCCUGAUGCAUGGACAAGUGACUUUCUGGGAUCACGAAGCUGGCCUAGGGACCUUUCCUUAGUGCAUUGUCUCUGGCCAGCCAGACUGCAUCGGUCUGAGAACGAGUUGACCAGAGAGACAACCCACUGCUAUGCAAGACCCGCGGAAAAAUGUUUAAAGUGCCUGAUUUUGUUGCCAACCUUUAAAAAUUCUGAACAAAGGACAAAGACUUUCAAUUUCCUACUCUUCUUGAAGCACCAAAACCAUCCAGCAACGCUUGUGCUGUUCCUCUCACAGCCAAGACACUGCUGCCCCCUACAGGUAUGAAAGUGGAUUACAUGCUCAGCAACACCAGCCAAGAAGUGAAAGUAUGGUCACCUGACUUUGGCUGGUGUGUGCCACAGGACUUCCUUCCUGCAGAUGUCAUAAUCAUGCCUUGCUCCAAAGGGAGUCAUUUCUUAUUUUCCACAACAAUCCGGCAGGAUCUGGGAUGGUAAUCCAGGAGGUGGGAAGGUGAGAAGAAUGUUAUUUUCUUCCUCCCACCUCUCGUAAACUAUCAGGGUGUCAUGGCAGCUCUGGCCCGGGCCAUUUUUCAGAGUGGAAGUUUUUAUCAUUUUGCACUGAGAUCAUAAACUGAGCCUGUCUGUCCCUCUGUUUAGACAUCUCCCCUCCAGGCUUUUAUAAGUGCCCUAGAAUAUGUCCUGGAAAGAGCCAGUAUCUUGUUGGUCCCAGGAUGGUUGGAGGUGACCAUGGUCUUCUCCAGACCAAGGGUAAGAAGAGCUCCAUUCUGCUUCAUUUAGGUUAAGAUAUUAGCAUUCCUAAAUUGUAAAAUGUGCUUUAAAGGUGGAAUCAGAAUGAUAAGAAAUUGGG